rnacentral:lncRNA from 10 species
UGUGUGUGUGUGUGUUUUACUUAUGACUCCUGAAUCAAUCUCUCUCUUUUCUUUCCCUCCCUCCCUCCCCUUCCUUCUUUCCUUCCUUCCUUCCUUCCUUCUUUCCUUCUUUCCUCAUUAAACAGGGAGUCUAGUGAAUUUUCAUUACCUAAUUGUGCUGUCCCACCAUGCCAAUUUCUACUUAGGUUUUCAGAUCACAGAUUAGCAUCAUUGACCGUCAAAACUGAAAGGGAAAUUAGAACUCAUUCUAGUCUAAUCUCUCAUCUGACAGAUGAAGAAACUGGCCCAGAGAGGUGAAACAACCCAGCCGAUGUCAUGUCGUAGCUAAGAUGACAGCUGUUGGCCUGUACCUCGGCCCUCAAGUUUCCCAUGCAAUGUGCUUCCUACUAUUCAUUGUUGCCCCGUCUCUAGAAAUGCUGUAAAAAUCUACACAGAAAACCUGACCGUCUAUGUGGUUCUUGCGGAGGAAUGAAAAGAAACAUGGCAAAUGAGGAACAGGUUGUUAUCAAAUGGACCCUGCCAGACUGAAUUUCUUCCUGCAAAGAGGACAGUCCAGGUCUGCUGAUGGGUUUCCAACACAGGAAACUCAGGGGUUCUAAUACCUCCUCUUGACCCAGUAACUGACAAGCCCUGAGCCUCAGGAUUCCUGGCCCUGUCCCCUCUCACCUCCUCUGCCAAACCAUGGUACUAGAAGAAAAUUACAAGAGAAAAUAUGACACAAAUUGUGAAAAUGGUAUACAGCAGCUCAGCUUUGGGAAACGUGAGUCCUGUCUGCUUAUGGAUGUAUCGAUUCAUGGGUAUUACACUUGUCUCCCAAGUUGCUUGCUGAUGCUUUCAAGGUCAGGUAAUAACAUUCUCCAAGGAACUAAGCGGAGUGGCUGUCCUCAUUUCUCCCCUGACCUGCAGGCUGGCUGGCUGGUUGCCUUGCUUCUGGGAGAUGGCCAGGCAGCCUGUUGCUCCCUGUGCCCCUCACCGACCAGGCAGCUCACUCCCUUUGUGGCAGCCUCAUGUCAAAACCCAUCAGAAUAAGAGACUAUUAAUGAGGAUGGGAAGAGACAGAGAAAAGAGGGAAACACCACAGUAAGAUAAAAACAGAUCAAUAGUGAAGCUAAACAGAGCAAGAGGUUCUGAAAGCAAUUCAGGAGCUGUUAGCUUCUCAACAAACACAGGGUUUCUGAUAAUCUCAGAUGGACACAAAAAGGAGAGAGAUGGACAAAAAGCCAGAGAAGCACAUCAAUGGAAAGCAAUAAGGAGGCUUUACCCAGCCAGAACUCAUCCUCCACGUUCCCGAAGCCAACACGGUAAUCAGCCCAUUUCCGGAAAAAAUCAGUUUGGCCAUUCUGCCGCCUCUGGAAUACCUAUGAAGGAAAUAAAAAAACAAAAAACAAACAAACAAAAAAACAAAACCCAAAGAGAUGCUAAGGAAAAUAAACUGUGAUAAGUAAAAUUGAUAUAACUGGGUUUUAUAUCUGCAAUGACAAAGAUGUCCAAAGAAGGAACAUUUCAGAGCAGAGCUCAGUAUUUACACAGCAGUUUUUGUAGGAGACACUCAGAGCAUUUCUCUUGAAGUGUAGAGGCCCCUGAUGAAUAGGCUCCAGUGUGAUGUUGACACUAAUUUGCACCCCUGCAAUGUAGAAAGGACUCAGGAUACAUAUCAAGCCCUAAAUAUCAGGGGAAAUAGGCUUGGCUCUCAAACGAAUCUUUUGCACUACAGAGUGCAGUAGAAAGCAUUUCUCACCAAAAGAACAGGA